UACGUAGGGUGCAAGCGUUGUCCGGAAUUAUUAGGCGUAAAGAGCUCGUAGGCGGUUUGUCGCGUCUGCUGUGAAAACUCGGGGCUUAACCCCGGGCCUGCAGUGGGUACGGGCAGACUAGAGUGCGGUAGGGGAGACUGGAAUUCCUGGUGUAGCGGUGAAAUGCGCAGAUAUCAGGAGGAACACCGGUGGCGAAGGCGGGUCUCUGGGCCGUAACUGACGCUGAGGAGCGAAAGCGUGGGGAGCGAACAGG
rnacentral:rRNA from 1 species